AUUGAACGCUGGCGGCAGGCCUAACACAUGCAAGUCGAGCGAGCGGCGGACGGGUGAGUAAUGUAUGGGGACUGCCCGAUAGAGGGGGAUAACUACUGGACACGGUGGCUAAUACCGCAUACUCUAGGAUAACCCGUAUGGGAUUAGCUAGUAGGUGGGGUAAAGGCUCACCUAGGAGCCGACCCCUAGCUGGUCUGAGAGGAUGAUCAGCCACCCUGGGACUGAGACAGGGCCCAGACGCGUACGGGGGCAGCAGUGGGGAAUAUUGCACAAUGGGCGAGAGCCUGAUGCAGCCAUGCCGCGUGUAUGAAGAAGGCCUUAGGGUUGUAGAGGACUUUCAGCGGGGAGGCGUUACCCGCAGAAGAAGCACCGGCUAACUCCGUGCCAGCAGCCGCGGGAAUAC
rnacentral:rRNA from 1 species